rnacentral:rRNA from 1 species
UACGAAGGGGGGCUAGCGUUGCUCGGAUUGACUGGGCGUAAAGGGCGCGUAGGCGGUUCGUACAGUCAGACGUGAAAUUCCUGGGCUCAACCUGGGGGCUGCGUUUGAUACGUGCGGACUUGAGUGCGGAAGAGGGUCGUGGAAUUCCCAGUGUAGAGGUGAAAUUCGUAGAUAUUGGGAAGAACACCGGUGGCGAAGGCGGCGACCUGGUCCGAUACUGACGCUGAGGCGCGAAAGCGUGGGGGAGCAAACAGG